rfam:Loxodonta africana unplaced genomic scaffold scaffold_8, whole genome shotgun sequence.
CUGGGGACGACCCCAGAAAGACCGAAAGCUGGGGACGACCCCA